rnacentral:rRNA from 1 species
GAUGAACGCUAGCUACAGGCUUAACACAUGCAAGUCGAGGGGCAGCAUAAUCGAAGCUUGCUUUGAUUGAUGGCGACCGGCGCACGGGUGAGUAACGCGUAUCCAACCUUCCCCAUAGUAGGGCAUAGCCCGUAGAAAUGCGGAUUAAUGCCCUAUGAUUUCCUUUGAUGGCAUCUGAUGAGGAAUAAAGAUUUAUCGCCGGCGGAUAGGGAUGCGUCUGAUUAGGUAGUCGGCGGGGUAACGGCCCACCGAGCCAUCGAUCAGUAGGGGUUCUGAGAGGAAGGUCCCCCACACUGGUACUGAGACACGGACCAGACUCC